CAGGCGAGACCAACUUUGCUCGAUCAUAAAACAAAAACGAGUCAACGGAGCGGCGUCGAGAGUAUACUGCGACCAAGACUUUCUCUCUGAAGUUGCAGCGCUUAUCUCGUUUUACACAUAUGUGUGGAAGACGCUAAGGAUAAGCUAACUUGUUAACGUGGGGUGGCGUUGGCUUUUUCCUCCACGAAACAACACGUCAAACAGUUGAAGUCACGUUAACCCCCCCCCCCCAAACAAUAAAUGAAAUGACGUAUGGCGGUUCUUAAAUGGUCAUUCACGCCAAAAGGAGGACUAUAACGCCAUGGCUGACGCCGUAAAUGAAGCAACAAUGGCGAGUGGACCACUGCAACAGCCAGUUGAAGGCAAAGUGACGUCACCCUCUUGGUGGAGACCAUCGUCAUGCUACAAAGACAAGGUCAAGGAGAAGCGCAUUGGAGCACCCAAUGUGGGGCGAGAGGUGGAGUCCAGCCUCUGGACUGGUCAUCUAUCAAUAGGAUUGACACAGAAGAAAGACACGAUAGAUCACGCUUAUAUUUACACCUACAUGAACAAUGAAUUAAGCUAACAUCCCGGUAAAUGUUUGUGUAAACAUUCAAAACAUUUUAAAGUCUUCAAUGGAGCUAACCUGGAAGGUUUUGUCAACAUCAUGGGCAAUUUUGUUGAUAAAGAUCUGGAUAUACAUUUUUUUUUUUUUUUUUUUUUUGCAGACAAGAAUUGAAUAGGCAGUGAAGUUAAAUGUACACAUUUUCACCAUCAUCAAAGCCCAGUCUUCAAAGAAGCUAUUAUACAGUGGAUGUAAAAAAAAAAAAAAAUGUACUCGCCUCUGUUCUAAUGCCAGGUUUUGGUAGUAGAAAAGAAAUGAGAUCAAGAAAAAUUAAAGACGUUUUCUACCAUU